GGGUUUGUGGGGAGGUUCACAGACAUCCUCAGGGAGGAUACCAAGUAUUGAAAUGUCCGGAUGAAUAAAAGAGACAGUCAUCUGUGCAGCAUCAAUGCAAAGAAAGACCAUAGAAGAGCAUAAAAAACUGAAGUCCUGCUUGAGAUCCCUGGAUGAGUACUCCCGGUUGACAGUCUGGAAGGACCAGACAAGGGAGUCCUAAACAGAGGCUGCACCCCUUCAGAUAUCAGAGGUGAUUUGCAGACAGCGAUGGCGAGGGUCCUGUUAUUUCA